rnacentral:rRNA from 1 species
GGGGAAUAUUGGACAAUGGGGGGAACCCUGAUCCAGCCAUGCCGCGUGUGUGAAGAAGGUCUUAGGAUUGUAAAGCACUUUAAGUUGGGAGGAAGAGCAGUUAACUAAUAUUUGACUGUUUUGACGUUACCGACAGAAUAAGCACCGGCUAACUUCGUGCCAGCAGCCGCGGUAAUACGAAGGGUGCAAGCGUUAAUCGGAAUUACUGGGCGUAAAGCGCGCGUAGGUGGUUCAGUAAGUUAGGAGUGAAAGCCCCGGGCUUAACCUGGGAAUUGCUUCUAAAACUGCUGAGCUAGAGUACGGUAGAGGGUGGUGGAAUUUCCUGUGUAGCGGUGAAAUGCGUAGAUAUAGGAAGGAACAUCAGUGGCGAAGGCGACCACCUGGACUGAUACUGACACUGAGGUGCGAAAGCGUGGGGAGCAAAC